GAUCAUGGCUCAGGAUGAACGCUAGCUACAGGCUUAACACAUGCAAGUCGAGGGCAGCAUCAUCAAAGCUUGCUUUGACGGAUGGCGACCGGCGCACGGGUGAGUAACACGUAUCCAACCUGCCGACAACACUGGGAUAGCCUUUCGAAAGAAAGAUUAAUACCGGAUGGCAUAGUUUUCCCCGCAUGGGAUGAUUAUUAAAGAAUUUCGGUUGUCGAUGGGGAUGCGUUCCAUUAGGCAGUUGGCGGGGUAACGGCCCACCAAGGCGACGAUCAGUAGGGGUUCUGAGAGGAAGGUCCCCCACAUUGGAACUGAGACACGGUCCAAACUCCUACGGGAGGCAGCAGUGAGGAAUAUUGGUCAAUGGACGAGAGUCUGAACCAGCCAAGUAGCGUGCAGGAUGACGGCCCUAUGGGUUGUAAACUGCUUUUAUAAGGGAAUAAAGUGGGAGUCGUGACUCUUUUUGCAUGUACCUUAUGAAUAAGGACCGGCUAAUUCCGUG
rnacentral:rRNA from 1 species